CAUAAAAUAAAUAAAACUCAGAUUUUCAGCUACAUGUGAAGGAAAUGGGUUUACUGCUAAAAUGUUUCUUUUUCCUAAGAAACAAAUUGGAACUAUUGUUUCUCUCCCUCUUCAAUUUUUCCCCAGUUUUUGGGAGGGUAAAGUGCAGAAAUCUUUCGAGAAAUUUGGUGUUAAGAACUCACUGGUUUUGGUUAUUAUUGGUGAAGAAGCAAAUUCUUUAUGACUGAUUUGAGGAAUUUAAUUUAAUUUCGUUUCAUUUUUUUGAAGGAGAGGAAUUUAAAAGUUAGUAUUGAAGUACAGGUGGAGCAAUGACUUCCUUUAAAUCAAAGGGAAUAAUGGAACCAAAAGAGAUGAAUGUUACGACAUAAUUGUGAUCUGAUCGACUAGCUGUUCUAUCUAGCUAGGAUCCCAGCAGCUCAACUUUGUUCUUAAUGAUGCAAAAUGAGAAACAAAGGGAGAUAAAUAACCAGAGCUUUGAAUUUUAGGAGGGAGCUGAGAAGGGUUACGAACCACUAAAACAACUGCUCAUUUUUGGCCGUCUCUAAUUGGACUUCAAAGUCUAAAGAAAAUUGAAAGUUGAAUCAUCGGAUGGACUCCACUUUGGCAAAAUAGCAUCAAAAGAAGAAAAAUUUUGGUGGAAUUGAGAAUCAAACUGGG